AUGUUUUUGGACCCAAGCUUAACUUUUCAAAUGUGGAAUGCUAGGCCUUCAUUGGAUUCCCAAGCAUCUAAAGCUUCCAGCAGGACUGGGUACACAAGCGCCACAAGCGGGAUUCUCCGCAGGCCCCUGACAGCCGCUGCACGUACACUGUCCUCUGCGCAGAACAUCAUUCCAACUAUCCAACCUGCCAGGCAAGCAUCUACAACACCUGGUUCAAGACUCACCUCUUCCCUGGUCCCUCCUCCUUCCAUUUCCCUGCACACACCAUCAAAUAAGCUAAUCAUUUUCUCCUCUGUUCUGCUCCUAUACUUCAGUGAUAGACUUGGCAAAGGUCUAAGAAGGCAUCCCUUUCUCACUCAUUCAGCAAACAUGUACUUAGCACCAUUGCUAGGCUAGGAGUAUGCCCUGUAUUGUGCCUCUUAAUUAGAUCGCAGAAUCUCACAGCCCUCAGUAGGCCUCCAAGACUGGAAUGCUGUAGACUCUCCUCUGUCCAUGGUGUUGGGGAUCUUUUCUGCAUCGACCAGCCUUGUUCACAAUCUAAUCCGGAAUUCACAGUCCCUGCCCCUUGUGCGACCCUCUCAACAGGCCCUUCAAGUCCUGUAGUUCCAAGUGCAAGCUCCUUGAUUUUUGUUUGAUUUCAGGAUUCCCAAGCAUCUAAAGCUUCCAGCAGGACUGGGUACACAAGCGCCACAAGCGGGAUUCUCCGCAGGCCCCUGACAGCCGCUGCACGUACACUGUCCUCUGCGCAGAACAUCAUUCCAACUAUCCAACCUGCCAGGCAAGCAUCUACAACACCUGGUUCAAGACUCACCUCUUCCCUGGUCCCUCCUCCUUCCAUUUCCCUGCACACACCAUCAAAUAAGCUAAUCAUUUUCUCCUCUGUUCUGCUCCUAUACUUCAGCUACGUUGCGGCCCACAGCUAGAAAAAAAGGCACUCCUUCCUCAAGACACUUGACCACCACCUGCUGGAAAUUUAGGGUAAAUGCUCUACAAAUCUCUGCCACUUACAGAAGUGAAGGUGCAUACUGGGUUUGGGUAGGGUGCUGCUCGCAUGACUGCAGGCAGGGCGCUGCCUUUUGCAAUGAUCACGAUUGAGGGGAUUUAAACAUUCCCCUCUGUGUCCCGGGUGCCCUGGCUUCCACUUGGGCUGAAGAAAUGCUUGCUUAAUGAUACUGGGGCAAGCCCUUGUUACCUUAGACUUGAGGCACCUGGUUUUGUGGGUGAAUGAUCUCUAAAUCCAUCUGUUUUAAAGGAAGGCAACCAAACUCCCCACAAGCUGUCAGAAUAACCAGAGGGUCUCAGGGGGAUUUGCAGUGGGGCCAGCGACCCUUCAGUCUGUUAUCUCUGCUCAAAGGCCACCACCAUAGGAACAGACCAGAGCAACUCCACAUUCCUCCCCAUAGUAAACCUCAAGUUGAGAAUAUGAUGGAGAAUUGGAGCAGGUGCUGUGUCCAGGGCCAGCUCCUUGUAUGUUGUGGGGAGGCAGAGGUGGCCACACAGGGGUCCUUGCAGGGAGCUGGGGGUUUUGUGGGAAGUCCAUCAGUGAGCACGCAGCUGACUAGACAGGGUAAGCAAGGAUGUUGAUUCACUAUCAUCCAUAUUUUCCUAAGCCAUGCCCUUUUAUUAAGCCACAUCACCAAAAACCAGUACCCCAGUGACAUCUGGGACUUCAUAAAGUGGUCUCAAUAGAGCUCCAUCUAGCUGUUACACUUGCAGGUGGGGGCAGGAAGGGGGACAUGCUUUUACUAGGGUCCUUAUGUUCCCAGAACCAUCUGGCAUAGCGUUCAUGUCCCACAGUCUCCCAGACAGGUACCCCUCUUUGGUAACCUUAAUGAAGGAAGAGGGCUGAUCCUUUCCCUCUCUGCCCUGGCUGCCAGGAAGCCCAGAGACAGUUUCUGUAGCUUUCCUGAACCAGGAUUGCUUCUUAUCGCUUCCCUGAUUCCUUCUCCAGGAGUGCUUGUUUUGGGCUGUUUGUCUUUUCCACUGUGGGGAUGGCUUUGGGGGCUGGAUGGGCAGUGAUGUGGCAGAAGAAAGAAGAACCACCAGUGAGCCAGACACACAUGGGUUUCAGUCCCCACCUGUUAACCGUGUCAUCUUAAGCAAGAUGUCUUUACUUCUUCAAUGCUGAGUUCCUUACCUGGAAAACUGGGGAAUGACCAAGAGGAACAGAUAGGUUACUGUGAAGAUUAGACUCUGCCAGUGUGACCUGCACUGUUCCUCUCCCUCCUCCCAGGUCAGGCUUGGCCUGUGGCUCCAGGAUCGGAGUUGGUUUUUCCUUCUUUCUG
rnacentral:lncRNA from 1 species